rnacentral:snRNA from 1 species
UGUUAACUUUUGCUAGUCAUUCACUAAAAUUGGAAUGAUAUAGAUAAACUUAGUAUGGCUUAUAUGUAAGGACGAUACACAAAUUUGUGAAGUGUUCCAUAUUUUU